ensembl:lncRNA
GGCGGGAGGAGCAGACCUCCUGGAGUCGUACAUGAGCUACCUGGACGGACAGACGUUUGACAUGCACAACGCCACAGCCGCCGUCUCCACCUACCCCAAAUCAGGCAGGUUCAGGGAGGGGGGGCGUGCGGCCGAACUACGCAGAGAGACCGGUACCGCCCCGCCCUCCUUCCAGUCACACAGACGGAGGGAUGAUGAGGAAGAGGAGGAGGAGGGCGAGGAAGGAGAGGAGGAGGACGAUGGAGGACGGGAGGGUUAUGGGAUGACACAGAAUUUGGGGCGUCCCACGUCACCCUACUUUGACCGGCCCCGGACCCCUGAGAUGAAGCCUCUGUGGGGGUCAGAGGGUCAGUUAGUAGGGGACCAGGGGACCUACCUGGAGGGCCGGAGGCUGUACCCCCCCAUAUCCAGCAUGAAGGCCAGCAUCAUCAAUGAGCUCAGCAACAAACUGCAGCAGAGAGGGAGCCAGAGAUCACUAAGUAGACACAGAAACAGGUUUUCAGAAGACUCCGCCUCGGCCCUGAGCCCCCCCUCAGUUCGUUCCCUGUCCCCCUCCCCUAUCCACCACUCCCAGCCCGCCCUGUCCCUGUCCCCCACCCCUUCCUCCCAGUACCCCAACUGGAACCGUCCCCGUCCCCCCAGCCCUCUGUGGCUGCCGUACAGCCCCCUCCACGCUCCCACUCUCCCCUGUCCUCCCCACCUACUCCCCUUAUCCCACCUCCCCUAAACACCGGCCUGUGUAUCGCACCAAAGCCCUGGAGUUCCAGUUCAUUCCAAGUAGAGAGUCCAGGAAGGCAGAGUCCCACCACCUGCAGCGUAGGAGAGCCCCCAGUCCCCUCAUCUCCCC